rnacentral:rRNA from 1 species
GACGAACGCUGGCGGCGUGCUUAACACAUGCAAGUCGAACGGUAAGGCUCCAGCUUGCUGGGGUACACGAGUGGCGAACGGGUGAGUAACACGUGGGUGACCUGCCCUGCACUUCGGGAUAAGCCUGGGAAACUGGGUCUAAUACCGGAUAGGACCGCACCGUGAGGGUGUGGUGGAAAGUUUUUUCGGUGUGGGAUGGGCCCGCGGCCUAUCAGCUUGUUGGUGGGGUAAUGGCCUACCAAGGCGGCGACGGGUAGCCGGCCUGAGAGGGUGGACGGCCACAUUGGGACUGAGACACGGCCCAGACUCCUACGGGAGGCAGCAGUGGGGAAUAUUGCACAAUGGGCGGAAGCCUGAUGCAGCGACGCCGCGUGGGGGAUGACGGCCUUCGGGUUGUAAACUCCUUUCACCAUCGACGAAGGGUUUCUGACGGUAGAUGGAGAAGGAGCACCGGCUAACUACGUGCCAGCAGCCGCGGUAAUACGUAGGGUGCGAGCGUUGUCCGGAAUUACUGGGCGUAAAGAGCUCGUAGGUGGUUUGUCGCGUCGUCUGUGAAAUUCCGGGGCUUAACUCCGGGCGUGCAGGCGAUACGGGCAUAACUUGAGUACUGUAGGGGAGACUGGAAUUCCUGGUGUAGCGGUGAAAUGCGCAGAUAUCAGGAGGAACACCGGUGGCGAAGGCGGGUCUCUGGGCAGUAACUGACGCUGAGGAGCGAAAGCAUGGGGAGCGAACAGGAUUAGAUACCCUGGUAGUCCAUGCCGUAAACGGUGGGCGCUAGGUGUGGGUUUCCUUCCACGGGAUCCGUGCCGUAGCUAACGCAUUAAGCGCCCCGCCUGGGGAGUACGGCCGCAAGGCUAAAACUCAAAGGAAUUGACGGGGGCCCGCACAAGCGGCGGAGCAUGUGGAUUAAUUCGAUGCAACGCGAAGAACCUUACCUGGGCUUGACAUAUACAGGAUCGCGCCAGAGAUGGUGUUUCCCUUGUGGCUUGUAUACAGGUGGUGCAUGGUUGUCGUCAGCUCGUGUCGUGAGAUGUUGGGUUAAGUCCCGCAACGAGCGCAACCCUCGUCUUAUGUUGCCAGCACGUUGUGGUGGGGACUCGUAAGAAACUGCCGGGGUUAACUCGGAGGAAGGUGGGGAUGACGUCAAAUCAUCAUGCCCCUUAUGUCCAGGGCUUCACACAUGCUACAAUGGUCGGUACAGUGGGUUGCCAGUCCGUGAGGGCGAGCUAAUCCCGCAAAGCCGGUCUCAGUUCGGAUCGGGGUCUGCAACUCGACCCCGUGAAGUCGGAGUCGCUAGUAAUCGCAGAUCAGCAACGCUGCGGUGAAUACGUUCCCGGGCCU